rnacentral:piRNA from 1 species
UGCAGCUCUGGACGCUUGUCAGUCUUG